CCAGCCUACCACAUUCAGUCAAGAGGGGCAGAAGAAACAUAUGGAAGUCAGUUUAUGUUCUGCUGGUGAGGAGUAGAACUGCGUUCAUCUGCUUUUAAUCUUUGUGCUAGUGUUAGAGCUUUAGUGAAUGCAGUGUAGUUUUUCUUAACACAACACUCCAUAGUUCAACAAUUAUUUAGGAAAUCAGAAAUAAAUUAGUCGUCAUUUUAGUCUAGGUAAGCAGAUAGUUAGCUAAGCCUAAAUUAACAAUAGUACAGUUAAAACUGCUGUAUAAUAAACGAAAUGCUAUCGCCUCAGGCUCCACUGUUUUGAAAAGUCAAAACAUAAGGCGUGACUAAACUACUGUAAAGAACCAGGGCGAAGACUGCGGUCACUUGAAAUGACAGGGAAAACUAGGUAUGGAGUGAACUCUAGAACAGUCUAUCCGUGGACCAGGUUGACGCCAUCAACUUCUCAGAAAAUGAGUACAAGACUGGUCACUGAGUCUCGAAGAGAACGGUUAGAAGUGUCCAAGAAAGAGAAGAACAGCAGAAUAAAGGCAUUUCGUAGUCAUGAUUACAAACGUUUGAAAUCUAUGGUUCCUGCCAUUGCGGAUAACCCUAAUGUGUCAAAGCUCACGGUAAUCGAAGAAGCCGUACGGUAUAUUGAUCACCUCCACAGCACCCUGUUGUCGAGGUUAAAAACCCGAGGAAUCCCACAUUGUUUCCAGGGUAUUAAUAUCGAUGUAAAUCAGAUGGGACAAGCAGAAAUUCGUCAACUGGUAUGCCAUCUUAUUACCCAACCCAACUGUGGGGGCGAAACGACGGAGUCUCCUUUACUACAGCCGCCCCACCUAGCGACUUAUAUAGAAAAAUGUAGAACCCUACCGUCAUACUUGCUCCGUUCAGGAAAUAAAAGACCGUAAACGUGGUCACCGCACAUCCACCCAUCUCAGGAGUGGCUCACAACAGAAUUGUAUAGAAAUCAGACCCCAGAACAGUAUAUAGAUAAAUGAUAACCCAGAAAAAGACAAUGUUUCGUGUUGUAUUUGUAAAAUAAACGCUUAAUAAACACGGGUUGUUGCCCAGUGUUAUAAACCAGCCACACCUGUCAUUGGUCACAUAAUAGGAUCGAGUGACGGGAUGACCCCACCCAGGAAUGUUGUCAGACCCAAGACAUCAAUUUAAACGCGCAGAAUGAUUGUAAGCGGCUCUUCAAGGGGGCGUUACCGAACCAAGAAGGUCCAUCUACCAACGUCGGUUUUAGUCAGUCGUUGCCGUGGUUACGAGACCCAGUACUUACUAAAACUCAAGACAAAUCGUCUCUAGGGUAAUAGUUCAUAUAGUAAUCACAAGUGGGGUGAGUCGAUUAGCAACGUAUAAAGAAUGCUGCUAAUUAGUCACAGGUUUGAUAGAAAAGGGGCAUAUUCUAGCUUGUCUUAAAACUAAUAACACAUCAGCAUAAUAAUGCACAAGUGAUUACAGAAUUAAUCUUAACUUAGCACUGGGUCACUAUUUCACCCUUUAAAAGUGGUUAUUUUAACCCUAACGUUUAAAGGUUAACCUAAGCUAGAGUGAUUACUUAUUUGAAGGACCUAAUUUCGUCAUUUGAACCAAAGUUAUAGCCUUGUUGGAAGGUCCUACUUUCAUCAGAGGUGGAACCAAAGUUAUAGCCUUGUUGGAAGGUCCUACUUUCGUCAGAGGUGGAACCAAAGUUAUAGCCUUGUUGGAAGGUCCUACUUUCGUCAGAGGUGGAACCAAAGUUAUAGCCUUGUUGGAAGAUCCUACUUUCGUCAGAGGUGGAACCAAAGUUAUAGCCAUUGUUUCAAAGGUCCUACUUUCGUUAAAGGUGGAACCAAAGUUAUAGCCUUGUUGGAAGGUCCUACUUUCUUCAGUGGUAGAACCAAAGUUAUAACCGUGUUUGGAAGGUCCUACUUUCUUCAGUGGUAGAACCAAAGCUACAAAGGUCUUACUUUCUUCAGGGGUAGAACCAAAGUUAUAACCGUGUUUGGAAGGUCCUACUUUCGUUAGUGAUGGAACCAAAAUUACAAUUUUGUUUCGAAGGACUUAACUUUCGUCAAUGGUAGGACCAAAGUUACAGCAUUUUUUGUAAGGUCCUACUUUCGUUAGUGGAUAAUCAAAAGUUACAGUUAUGCGCCGAAGUUUUUUAUUCCUUAGCUUGAUAUAGAAAUAAAUGGAAAAAUAAAGAAGAGAUUAGGAAAACGUUCUCUCUAACCUUAUUGUUUGCUUUUUUUCUGAAUGUAUAUACGUAUUAUUUAUCGAAUAGUUUAUCUGGACAAGUAGUGGAAAACAUCAAAACAACUACUGUCAGUUCGUUGUAUAAUUACAGUAAAAGCAAGGUUAGGAUUAACAGUAAUAUUGAGUUUUUAACUAAAAGUUAACAGUAAUAUAGAAACACCUGAUAGGGUUAGGAUUAGCAGUAACAUACACUAGACUAGGAGGGUUAGGGUUAACAGUAGCAUAGGUUAACGUGAUAGGGUUAAGGUUAGCAGUAACGUAGCCUAGACUAAGAGGGUUUGGGUUAAUAUUAACAUAGACUCACGUGCCUGGUUUGUCAUUACACUUGCUCUAUUACAACUUAAUUUAUAAGAGAGUAAUUUACAUUAUAACUUCAUAUGGUAAACAUCAAUAAUUUGUUAAAUACUAUAAUAUUUUAUUAAGCUUGUGUAUAGUAGGAAGUAGACGUAGGUUUUCAAUGUUCCUUCGUACAAGGAUUUUUAAUAUCUCACGAAGAAUAACUUCCCGGAUGUCAUUAGUUAACUUUGAUAUACACUUGAUAACCAGAAGUCGGUGAAUAUUCUUACCAAAUGUAGGUAGCUUCUUCUGAGGUUUACAAUAUUAAAGGGUUUGUUUCGUAUUCUUAAAUAAGACAUUUCAAUAAAAGAUAGUUCAGACUGUAGAA